GAACUGAAGAGUUUGAUCAUGGCUCAGAUUGAACGCUGGCGGCAGGCCUAACACAUGCAAGUCGAGCGGAUGAAGGGAGCUUGCUCCU
rnacentral:rRNA from 1 species